UCCAUAGUUCAGAGGUAGAACAUCUGCUUUGCAUGCAGAAGGUCCCAGUUUCAAUCUCUGUUAUUCCUAGGGAA